GCUCAAUGAUUUUUUAAAUUGCUGUAGUAUUUUGACUAUACAAAGGUAUUGAAAUAAGAUUUUAAUUGAAUACUAAGAGAAUGGAAUUACAGAAAAUAGCUUUUUUUAAAUUAAAAAUUGAAAUUUUUUUAAUUGUGCAGAAACAAUUAUUAAUAUUAAGGMCAAGAAGACCCUAUUUUKKUAUAAAUUUAUAUUAUARGGUAAUUAAUAUAAAAUUAAAAUUUUGGUUGGGGCGCACAAAAAAAAAUAAAAAACUUUUUAUAAAAUGAUCCAUUAUUAAUGAUUAUAUGAAAAAUACUCUAGGGAUAACAGCGUUAUAUUUUUUGAUAGCUCAUAUUGACAAAAAAGUUUGCGACCUCGAUGUUGGAUUAGGAUGCUUUUUUAAUGAGAUAUUAAAAAAAAGGUUUGUUCAACUUUAAUUUCCUACUUGAUCUGAGUUCAGACCGG
rnacentral:rRNA from 1 species